GUCAAAAGCUAAUUUUAGUACUCUCAAUGCUUCUCCUUCUAGCAGCAAGGCAGCAUAUCAAAGAAGCUCUUUAGCUCCAUGCUUGCAUUGGUUACAGGGCUCGUUUUCAUGAUUCCUGAAAUGCCUGGCCUUCAUCCCAGCAUGAAAUUGAGCCUUAUGCCACAUCUCCAGUGUGUUACUAAAAAAAAAAGAAGAAGAAUGAAAAAGCCCUUCCUCUGCAUUGUGAGUAUUCAUUUGCUUUAGCCAACUGAAAGCCCCCCACCCCCCAAAUAGAAACCAAGAUGACACUACUGAUUUACUGUAAAUAGGUGCCACAGGCAAUUUGCUGCACGGUAUGGUUUUCUUGAGAGUGCUAGACCACAUUUGAACAAAGACACCUAAAAAUAAAAAUAAAAAAAUCAAUGAUCCCGGUUGCAGCCUAAAUGCUUUGUUAGCCUUUUACUACAACAUUACAUAUUACAUGCAAAUAAUGGGAGAAAUUUAAUGCUACCAGUCUUGCCAGGCAAUUCCUUUGGAUCUUUAAUAUAUAUAUAUAUAUAUAUAUAUAUACAGAUCUUGAACAGUAACAUUUUUCUUUUUAGCGUGAAGUUGCUCAAGGUUCACUGGAGACUUUGAAAUUGCUGCUUUCAGAAAAAUAACAAUGUAAAAUGACAUUAUGAUAUAUAGCACCUUCCUGUGGGCUUGAACCAGUGCAAGUGCCAGCUGCUAAUGCCUUUGGGAAUGAAGCAAUCUCCAGGGCACCAUUGUCCAAUUGUCCUUCUAACUGUAUCCUGUUUAAUUAGUUGCAAUUAAUUUCAAGCAGCAGCCUCCUGGAACAUCACAUCAGGAAGCAUUGGGAGUGUAUAUGUGGAAAUGCUGGAUAUUCAAAAUUACGAAGACUGGAGAGUGUGUGUGUUAAGAGGAGAGAAGUAAACAAGCAGCAAAACGUUUUUGGCUUAACCAAUCUGGAAGCGAACUAUACAAAACUUCUUGUGCUAGAUACUUUGGAGGGACACACACACACACACACACACAAACAAAUAAACAAACAAACAAAUAAGACACAAUGCCACUUAUUAAAAAAAGAAAUAUUCUGAAGUAAGUCCUGCCCAUGCUGAAAAACCAGGCCCAUUAACUGGCCUGAUUCACAUGCCACCUUAAACCAUAGUUAAGCUUAACUAUGGUCUGAAGGUGAAUUUGCAGCGUGCCGAUGCACAGGUCAAAAUUGCAGGUGCUUUGCUCCUCUUCCGCAGUAGUAGACUUUCUACAGCAUUAUUGCAGCUGCACCGGUUGAAUUACCCUCAAACCGCCUCUGCUCCUUUGCUCUUGCUGCUGUCGUGCUGCUAGGAGCUAAGCCAUAGCGUGGCUUAGUUUCCUAUUGAAACCUGAGCCCAUGGUUUGUUUCAGGGGGAAAUUAGGCACAUGUUUGAAAUGUUGGAUGAAUAAUCAGAUACCGGCUUGCUCAGAGUCGAAGAAAGGGUCUCAGGUCAGGCACACUCAUGCUGCUGCGGUUUUGCACACUGAACCCCUGCACACUGCUGGUGGGAGAUGGGGAAACGGGGGGGGGGGGAGAGAUUUGGUGUGCAGCGUUGGAGAGCAGCAACACUUUUGCACCACACCUUCAAGCAACAACAGUAGCCUUCCUGAACAGUGAGAACUUGUCAUUUCAGCAGCAGUAACCUUUCACAUCAACAGCCUUUCUUAAUUCACCCUUAGGGGUUCCCAGGGGUGGAGUGGGGGCAUAUUAUUUGAACCAGAACUGUCUAGUUAUGGCACUCCAUGUUCCCUGUUAAAUUACAGUUGCUAACAUGACUUCUUUGUGGGGAAGGUUUGGCUUGAGUUAUAGCAUCAACAAAUCCACCAUUUACACUCAAUAAGACAUUCUUGUUGGCAAACAGUAUUAAUUAAAGACAUGCAGAGCCUUUAAUUAAAACUCCCAUGUUUUUGUGUUCUGUAGCUUUCAACAACAAAAUGUCUAGCCUUUGUUAUUGAUUAAAAUGAGCUCGCUUCUUUUCAAGAUACGGAGAAAACCCACGUGAUGAGUGGUCUAUCACAGAACUGAUACUGAAAGCAGAAGAGGGGUUGUUUUUUCUCCAGAGUAACUUGCAGGUGAUACAAUUGACUGUGGUAUGUAUGCUCAUUCCAGUAUUGGCAAUCGUUUCUUGGCUUUAUGGGUGUUUGCAAUUCUCCUGAAAAGCCUGUUUGACAGGAGGCAAGAGAACAUGGUGCAUGUUUGUGUAUCACAGGGCGUGAAGUCUCAUUUUGGACACCUAAAAGCUACUGCAUGCCUCCGGCCCAGAGAACAUGUUUUUAAAAUGUCUGAUCCCUGUCACAAACAGAAUUUCAUUUUGUGGCACCAAACGUCUGCUGUGGUUCUAAUGGACUCCCCUACCUCAACCUGCUUGCCAAGUGCCCUUCCCCGCACCUGAACAAAUCCCCUUCUUUCACUACUCACCAACCCCUUCACUUAUCCCCUCAUAGCUCACCCCAAAUCCCCCAUUUUAAGGGAGCAGGGAGGUGCUCCUCAGAGCAGCUUGCUAAAUUGCUCUGUGAAGUGCCUCUCCCCUCUGUUAAACCUUGCUGCAGCUGCAUUUAACUGGAGCUGGCAUAGCCACCUAUCAGCAGCCACAUGAGCUGCAGCAUGACGACAGUCUUACACUUUUAUGUAUAUAGGAAGAAAGGCACUAGCCUGAUUCACGGGCAACAAGAAACCAUGGUUGGCUGCAGUAUGAACAAACACUUCCCCGAUUUUUCACGCCCAUAAGGUGGAAACUUGAAACUUUUGAAUGUGGUUUGAAACAAGCAGCAGUUGCUCAUGACAUCCUGGGCUUGUGGGGAUUUUGCUUUGCUUAAACCAGGGGUCACUGACCUUUUUGGGCCAAUGGGCAUUUGGAAUUUUCAAAAAGUGCUGUGGGCGCCAGCCACAAACAGGCUGCUAUGAGGGUGUGGCAUAACACAAAAUGGCCACCACAUCUGAAGGAGUAGAAAAAGAGACAGGACUAUGGAGGGGGAGAGGUUGCUGAUGUUCAAAUAGGAAAUGUUGUGAUGUCCUGAAUGUGCACACCAACUUUCAUUCUGAAGUCUCAAUGUUCAAGGGAGAUAUUGUGCUACAAACAACAAGAGAAUGAAAAGCCAUCGGUUUCACUCAGCCAAACCAGAGUUCAGAAUGUGAGAAUGUCUUAAAGAUGAAGUGGCCUUCAGUAUUGGGCCAUCCAAAAUAAACACUUGUGGUAAGAGGCAAGCCUGUAUAACUUGUCAUUCACCUUUAAAUCAUGGGGGUUUGAGGGUGAAGAAAUAUUUGUUUGGGUUGCUUAAAUAAAGAAAUUCAAGAUAAUAAUUUGACCUUUGAGGCUGGUCCAUAAUUCAUUGCUUCCAAGACAGUCUAUUUUUGUUUUGUUUUUUCCCCUGUUUUGUUUUUAUUAUACUGGUGCCAUAAAUGGUUAUCUUCUCUCCACACAGUGUGACAGUAGUUUAAUUCCUGAUGCUAUGAAUCAGGGAUGGAGCUGGGUCGAUGACAGAGAGUUAGUGAUUUACAAUAGACCAGGCACUCUAUAAAAACCUAUGGCAAGGGGUUAUGAGUUAUCAAGAUGUGCUGAGCUGGCAUCCGUGGUCAGCAAUAUGCAGGGCGAUGGAAUCUCGCCUCUCAUGGCUGCCCAGCAUUCCAUUACUGCCUGUUAGCCUCUUGAGCGAGAGCCAGCGAAGGACGGGCGAUGGAGGGAGGAGUUCUCAGAAGGAUCUCACGGCUGGAGAAAUGGAGGGGGAACUUUUGAGGGAAACAAAUGGCAAAACGGUCACGCUGUCAAGACCCGCCGCAGCUCAUAAAUCUAAAAUGGGGAAAUUGUAUGUUCUGGAAUAUUAACAAAGCUGUUUGGACAACAGCAGCAGACUGAGGGGCUGAGAGAGACUCCCAAUUAUUAUUUUUCUGCAACGGCCAUAGUCCCAUGUUCCGGCAGAGGGUAAAGCUGAGUUUCUAGGAGGUUCCAGGUUUGUUCUCAAAAUAGCCUUGGAGAUGGGCCUUACCUUAUAUGCCCAGAGGCUUCUGGCAUGAUUGCCAGGAUCAUGCCUUCCUCAGCCUGCUGAAUGUCUUUGAGCAUCCGAGGCUACCCUGAAACAAACACUCAUAAG
rnacentral:lncRNA from 1 species